UUACUCAGGAGAACAACUGAAAGAAAGAAAGGAGUUAUUAAAUAUGGAAGGUGCCUUAGUUUGUUUCUGCUGCUAUAAUAAAAAUUCCUGAGACUAGGUAAUUUAUAAAGAGCACAUUUUUUUUCUCAUUGGUUCUAGAGAUUGGGAAGUACAAGAUUAAGGUUCUGGCAGGGUUAGUGUCUGGUAAGAGCUGUUUCCCACUUCCAAGAUGGUCCCUUGUUGGCUGUGUCCUCCAGAGGACAAUGUGGUGUCCUCCCAUGCUAGAGGCAGAAGGGCAAAAAGGAGACCAAUGUAGUUCUCUCCAGCCCUGUCAUAAGGCACUAAUCCAUUCAUGAACUCUCAGCCCUUGUGACUUAAUCACUUCCCCCAAAGACCCACUGCUUAUUACAACACAAUGGGGAUGAAGUUCCCACAUGGUUCUCGGAAGGGAUACAUUCACACCAGAGAAGACAGAUCAUUUGAAUUGUGUGUGGGAUGGCCUGAGAAGGCCUCAUUGAAGUGACUUUAGAGAAAACCACCCUGUGAAUGAAGGAGCAGAUAUCUGAAGGGAGAACACUGUAGGCCUUGAAACGAGAGCAAGCCCAAGGUAGGCAGGCAACCAUGAAGGUGGUGAUGUGGCAGGAUCAGGAAGAUUUCUGACACUCUCACGUGACUCCAUCUCAUGAAGGCAUGGGAUUCUUCAGUGAGACAGAAACUUGUGUAUUGACAUGGGAUGGAGGAUGUUCGCAUCAGCAGACAGAGUGUGUUGUAUAAAAGGGGAACUGUGCUGGUGAAAAUGGUUUCCUGUUCAUUUUUAAAUUUCUAAUUUAGGAUUGAAGAAAAUUUUGAGUGGAAGCCAUCUAAGGAAUUAGGUCAGCUUACAAGAGCAGCCCUGGAGACAAUGAAAGCACUGGGAACUUUAAUGACAAAGAAAAGUGAGUUGCAACCACCAGAAGACCUUGCUGAUUCAAAAUAAAGUCAAGACAACUCAGGCAUGAAAAGGAAAAGGAUGUUUGGAGGUCAACAUUUGUUUUCUCAAUGUAUUGAGACAAGUUCUUGAGACACUGAUCUUAGAGACUACUUUGGCUCAGACUUUUCCAAUCUUUACUGGUUGGUCUCAGGCACAUCCAAACACAUGAUAGGAUCUCAGGUUGUUAUAGCAGAAGUGUAAUAAGAAAAACAGGCUUAAUUCCCACUCCCAGCUUCCAAGAAUCAAAAGGGAAGUCCUGAAGAAUAAUUUCUACAAUGGAAACUAAAGGAAAGACAAGAGCAUUGUUCCCCAUCUUGGGAAGACCCACGAGUGGCCUUGUCUGAGUAGUGUGGAUUUGGAAGAAGCCACUCGUCUGAAGGAGAACGUCCUGUUUUGAUGGAACCUGGUAGGAGCUGGAUGAGGGCCACUUCUGUCAUCCCUUAUACAAAAGAGCGGUAUUCACUUCCUUCCGACCUUUUGGAUGAAGGCCCUAGCCGACAGGCCCCUGACUGUGCUGCUGGAGAUGGGCCACAUAAGAACAAGAUCCUUGUCAAGAACCAGAAAAUGGUGUGGGAUCCUUGCUCCUCAGAGGGGUGAAAGUGGUGUGGGAUCAGAAGCCUUAUCAUGACAGUUAAGCGAAACCAAUGCAGCACUAGUACUGAUGUGGGAGGAAUAUAGUGCUUCAAUCUGAUACAAACACACAGUGAUAUUCAGACACAUUGAAUAUUGCCAUAAAACUGCAUCGACUUAGCUUGCAUUUUCACACUUUCACAUGGGCAAUGAAAUAGAAAUUCAAGUCCUGUUUCAAUAAAAAUGUUGUAUUCCAUAUUUGUGAGCUGUAACUCACAAUUUGUAGUAUAAAUUAAAUCAGUGCAGUUCAGAUGUAUUUCUCUUAGGCUAUCAGACUUAAUAAAAAGCUACUUCUAAGGGCAUAAGUUGUACAUCAGAGUAUCUCAGAUGGCUUGUAAAAAGCAGAUGGCUAGGACCUACCUCCAAGAGCAGUCAUUCUGGGCUGGAGCCCUGUAAUUGUCAUUCCUAAAGAGUUCCUAGGUGUUAAGACCAAGCUUUGAGAAGCGCUUACUUGGGGGUGUCAGAAUCUUGACUGCCACGCAAAGGCAAUGGCCUCACUUGAGUGGGUGUUUUAUGAGGACUGGGAAUAAGCAAAUCCACAGAACCAGUUCCUUGAGUCAAGCAAUGUUACAGGGGUGUUUCAUGUAUGAACACACUUCACUUUCAUAGAAAUCCUCUCAAAUAGGUACCAUAUUUUUAGCCUCAUCUUGCAGAAUAGGAUAUAGAGGCUCAGAGAGGCUAAAUGACUUGUUGAAGAUCGCACAACUGGAAGAUGACAGAGCUAGGAUUCAAGCCCAGGCUGUUUGUCUGUGCUUGUAACUGCUGUGAUAAGUUCUGCAGAUCCGUGAGGUUUCUGAACACUGCCUGAAUUAUAGAUAUUGUCUGUGAGUGCUUUGGAUGUAUAAUAUGUAGGUGACAAAUUGGUCAUCUUCUGUGUUAAAUCAAGAUGACCCUUGGGAUAGGGGAUUAGGAGUCCCCAGUUUUGUCUAAGAACAAAAACCCCUGCAUGAAUUUUGGAUCUAGAAGAACUGUAGGAAGGGUCAAACUUUCCUAGGGAAAAAAACUGUUGAUGUUCCUGAGAUGCACCUAAAUUCCAUGACCUGAUUCCACUUUGUGCAGAACUUAAGCCUCCAGGACUGCCUCUCUCACUUAGAUGGUCACAGCUCUCCCAAGGUACACCAGGACCUUUCUCUCUGGUUUCUGCAUGGCCUCCCUCCUCUCCACACCUGUCUCCCCUGUUUCCCCACAAGGCUGUUCCUUCUGCAUGCCAUAUUCCACUCCAAUGGCAGCUGAUUUCUACCUGUGCCCUUCAGCAGUAGGCAGUGGUUGGAAGGUAGGAAGACAGACGUUGAUCCCCUUAUCCUCAGUGACCUGACUCCUCUGCACUCCUCAUCCUGUGGGAUGUGUCUGCCACGUUUGGCCUCCAGCUGGAUGACCCUGAGCUGAGCUCUGCUAAGUCUACAGCUCCCAUCCUCCUCCCGGCCUCCCUGAGGCUGCUAAUGACUUCUUGACACGUUUGGAUUGCCUCAUCGUCCCAUUUGGCUUCUUAGCUCUUCUACUGUCCGUGUAACCAGUUCCACAUAUGGAUGUCCUCUACUUACAACGCUUUAAGUGGUUUUUGUCUUCCUCACUGGAUCAUGACCUAUAGGCCCUCAUUUAGCUGCCCACAGAUGAGCUCCUACCCUGGAAGAUGUGUGCUAGUUGCUCUACCCUCAAAUGCUCUUCUCCCAGUUGAUCUCAUGGUUUACUCACACGUGUUAUGCCAGUCUUUUUAUAACUGUCACCUCCUCAUAGAGCUAACAUGAUCAUCCUGCCCAAAACCAACCUGGUAGUCUCCCUUCAUCACUUUUUGCUGUGUAAUUUUUCUACGGUGUUCAUCACUGACCAAAAUGAUCAUGCUUAUAUUUGUGUCUACUGACUUACUGAGCAGCUUCCAACAGUAAGAUGUAAGCAUCAUGAAAGUGAGUAUUUUGAGUGUCCCAUUUGCUACCUUCUUGAAUAUAAUGAGUACAAUUGUCUUCGGCACUAAAGAAAUAUUUCCUGAUAGACAGAUUAUCUGACUAAGUUAUUAACUAAAUGAAUUAAUAUAGUCUUAAAGUGAUGACCCUGGAAUGGCAAAUAGGAAAUCCUUUUAUUGCCCGCUCAGAUCAAUUCAUACUGUCCAUAGAAAAUACAAAACAGAAGUUUUGUGUGACACAAUUAUCUAGUUGAAUCCUAAAAGAAUUGUAAUAAGGCUCUGGGAGAUAUUGAGAAUACUUGUAUUAUAUUAGGCACACUAGUUUGCACCAACUAGAAAAUGUACCUCUAGUCAAUUGAAAGACUUAGUGGCCUGAAUUACUCAACAUCAUCAACCUAAAUGCUAGAGAAUGUCUGCCUGCUUCAAAAUAAUGACUUUGAUUUUACAUAGUGGAUACUCUGUUGCUCUUUCUGACGGUAACUGGUGGUCAACUUCCAAUUACUUCUGAAGGCUCAAGGAGCAGAAAGAAAGUUUUCCAUCAUUCCAUUUGCUACUUUUUAAAAAUAAAUUUUUCACUAAAGUGUAUUCUGUAUAUUUCCCCAUGCAUGUUGUUCUCCAAACAUUAUUAUUUUCAAGCAUGCUCUUU